rnacentral:rRNA from 1 species
UGGGGAAUAUUGCACAAUGGGGGAAACCCUGAUGCAGCGACGCCGCGUGAACGAAGAAGGUAUUCGUAUCGUAAAGUUCUGUCCUAUGGGAAGAUAAUGACAGUACCAUAGAAGAAAGCUCCGGCUAAAUACGUGCCAGCAGCCGCGGUAAUACGUAUGGAGCGAGCGUUGUCCGGAAUUAUUGGGCGUAAAGGGUACGCAGGCGGUUUAAUAAGUCGAAUGUUAAAGAUCGGGACUCAACCCCGCAAAGCAUUGGAAACUGAUAAACUUGAGUAGUGGAGAGGAAAGUGGAAUUCCUAGUGUAGUGGUGAAAUACGUAGAUAUUAGGAGGAAUACCGGUAGCGAAGGCGACUUUCUGGACACAAACUGACGCUGAGGUACGAAAGCGUGGGGAGCAAACAGG